AGGGCGAACGCUGGCGGCGUGCUUAACACAUGCAAGUCGAGCGGAAAGGCCCUUCGGGGUACUCGAGCGGCGAACGGGUGAGUAACACGUGAGUAAUCUGCCUUCAGCUCUGGGAUAGCUCCGGGAAACCGGGAUUAAUACCGGAUAUGACCACUUCGGACAUCUGUUGUGGUGGAAAGUUUUUCGGCUGGAGAUGAGCUCGCGGCCUAUCAGCUUGUUGGUGGGGUAAAGGCCUACCAAGGCGACGACGGGUAGCCGG
rnacentral:rRNA from 1 species